rnacentral:rRNA from 1 species
UACGGAGGGUGCAAGCGUUAUCCGGAUUCACUGGGUUUAAAGGGUGCGUAGGCGGGCAGGUAAGUCAGUGGUGAAAUCUCCGAGCUUAACUCGGAAACUGCCGUUGAUACUACUUGUCUUGAAUAUUGUGGAGGUAAGCGGAAUAUGUCAUGUAGCGGUGAAAUGCUUAGAUAUGACGUAGAACACCAAUUGCGAAGGCAGCUUACUACACAAUGAUUGACGCUGAGGCACGAAAGCGUGGGGAUCAAACAGG